rnacentral:rRNA from 1 species
GAUGAACGCUGGCGGCGUGCCUAACACAUGCAAGUCGAGCGAAGCGAUUUAGCGGAAGUUUUCGGAUGGAAGUUAAAUUGACUGAGCGGGCGACGGGUGAGGUAACGCGUGGGUAACCUGCCUCAUACAGGGGGAUAACAGUUAGAAAUGACUGCUAAUACCGCAUAAGCGCACAGCAUCGCAUGAUGCAGUGUGAAAAACUCCGGUGGUAUGAGAUGGACCCGCGUCUGAUUAGCUAGUUGGUGAGGUAAAGGCCCACCAAGGCGACGAUCAGUAGCCGACCUGAGAGGGUGAUCGGCCACAUUGGGACUGAGACACGGCCCAA